AGGAUAAACGCUGGCGGCGGUGCCUAACGACGAUGCAAGUCGAACGCGCUUUCGGGCUUCGGUGCGAGAGCGAGUGGCGGACGGGUGAGUAACACAUGGGUACCUACCUUGGAGUGAGGGAUACCGGCGAGAAAUCGCCGACAAUACCGCAUAGGCUUCUUCACAAGGGAAGCAAAGUGACGCGAGUCACGCUUUGAGAUGGGCCUGUGGCCGAUUAGCUAGUUGGGGGGGUAACGGCUUCCCAAGGCGACGAUCGGUAGCUGGUCUGAGAGGACGAUCAGCCACACUGGGAUUGAGAACGGCCCAGACUCCUACGGGGGGCAGCAGUGAGGAAUUUUCCGCAAUGGAGGCAACUCUGACGGAGCAACGCCGCGUGCAGGAGGAAGGUUUUCGGAUCGUAAACUGCUUUUCUCGGGGACGAGGCAAGGGACGGUACCCGAGGAAGGAACGCCCCGGGCUAACUACGUGCCAGCAGCCGC
rnacentral:rRNA from 1 species